GAAAACAUGGGCUUAUGUUUUCAAGAUGGAUUCUUCUGACAGUGUCUAUGUAUUCCGAGUAGAACGCUAGCAAGUAGUCAAGUAGCUAUCACUUAUGUCGGUCGCUUUGUGAAGUUAGAGGUGUUUUGUGGUCUUUCACAUAUUUUUAAGCUCCAUCAAGGGGAGAUACUGAUGGAUACUGGUUUUGUAUGAGUGAGAUGUAAAACUCAGUUCACAAGCAUCCAAGCAGGGAUAAGAAUGUGAUGCAAUGGUGCAGGGGUAGUGUUUUUUGCCGUGUUGUUGCAUAUAUGGACGUUUCGGUUGAUGGAGCUUGGUUGGUUUACUCUAAACUGAUGCAUAUUUGGUUUGAGAAUUGAUAUCUAUGUUGGAUUAUUUUAUUGGGCCAACUCUUGAAGAUUAUGUGACAAAGACGUAAAGAUCUGAUGGGCGUUGUUGUUUUUGGUUGUCAUAACGCUGAAGAAAAAGACGUAAACACGGUUAUUCAGAUUGUGAAGUAUCCUCUAACAGGUAUGAUUAAGGUCAUUCUGGACUAAGUGUUUUAACAGUGUUUUCUCACUCAAGCAGGGGGAGAUUGAGAAGGUUCAGCGAACAGAUUGUAAGCACAAUGAUAUAGGAUUCAUGGAGAGCUUUAUAUCUUGAUUAUUGAGUGGUAUGCGUGCUUUACAUGGAGAGCUUGAGUUGUAAAACUCAGUUAAAAACGGAGAGAUUGAAAGUGCAGAUAUUGUUGGGACAGUAUUGAAGUACAACCGAUGAGAUCGAGAGUAAGUCGUUCGUGACGUAACGUAGAAGCAAAAAGGCCAUGUGGUUCAUGGGCCUUUAUUCAAGUUAAGCCCAAUUGCUUGUAGAGACUUGAAGCGUGGCUUAAGUCGUCUAGGGUUUUUGGCACUUGAUAUAUAAACUAAGAGAUAGCAACAUGAAGAGUUGCACGUCUAGGGUUUAUUAAGAGAUGCACACUUGUGUGUGGCGUCGUCCCACCAAAUACAGAUGAUGAUCUUUUGGUGGUAUUCCUUUGGAAUCUGCAGCCGUUAGAGAAGACGGUGAUGCACCGGCUGCCGGGUGGUAGUCAAGACAUGUGUGGCUUGAUACUGUUUCCAAAGUCCAUCUAGAAAAGAGUGGUAGGCAAUAGUUAUGCUGUAAUAUCAUAUGCAAUUGUAUUUGCAAUCUUGUUCUAAUGGAAUUGUUUCUGGACUAGGUCCCGGAGAUGUAGGUUGUUACCGAACCCCGUUAACAAAUCUCUGCG
rnacentral:sRNA from 1 species